rnacentral:tRNA from 1 species
UCCCUGGCAGUCCAGUGGUUAGGACUUGGCACUUUCACUGCCCUGGCCUGGGUUCAGACCCUGGUCUGGAAA